rnacentral:lncRNA from 1 species
GUUGGCUGCCUGUAGUUUCAGGUUGUCUGUCCAGACUUCAGCAUGCCAGUCACAUGAUUCUAAGACCACCACCACCAGCACAUAAAAAGGUCCAUGCGGAAGUCUUCUCACUCAUCCAGUCCCAUCCAGGAUGCUUUGAGUCUCGUGAAAGCCCUAAACCACUGCUGUGUCCUGUGCACCAUGACCUGCUGUGUCCUGUGCACCAUGACCUGCUGUGUCCUGUGCUCCAUGACCUGCUGUGUCCUGUGCACCAUGACCUGCUGUGUCCUGUGCACCAUGACCUGCUGUGUCCUGUGCUCCAUGACCUGCUGUGUCCUGUGCUCCAUGACCUGCUGUGUCCUGUGCUCCAUGACCUGCUGUGUCCUGUGCUCCAUGACCUGCUGUGUCCUGUGCUCCAUGACCUGCUGUGUCCUGUGCUCCCUGCUCCAUGACCUCACUGCAUGCGAAAGGAAACACAGAAGUGCUUUCUUUCCCCACAGGACACUUGCGUUCUGUUUUGAAUUUUUCAUAUAUGUUGACUAUGUCUUGCUAAUAAUACUUA